GAUGAAGAACGCAGCGAAAUGCGAUAAGUAGUGUGAAUUGCAGACUUUAGUGAAUCAUCGAAUCUUUGAACGCACAUUGCGCCCUUUGGUAUUCCGAAGGGCAUGCCUGUUCGAGCGUCAUUAUCACCCCUCAAGCCCUCGGCUUGGUGUUGGACGGUUUGGUGGAGGCCCCCUCGGGGGUUCCUGCCCCUCCCAAAGACAAUGACGGCGGCCUCGUUGGACCCCCGGUACACUGAGUUCUUCACGGGACACGUAUCGGACACAUGGGUUUACGGGACACGGUCUGCCUCCCCUCAGGGAGAAUCUUUCUAAGGUUGACCUCGGAUCAGGUAGGGAUACCCGCUGAACUUAAGCAUAUCAAUAAGCGGAGGA
rnacentral:misc_RNA from 1 species